GCUCUGUGCUGCGUGGAGUCUGCCGCGGCUGGGGCUGCCCGAUGAUCCCCAGCUGGCGGAAGCACGGGCGGAGGGAGGAUGACCUCUCCUUGGGGUCACAGUGCGGACCUGGCCCGCUUCUACACUGUCACCGAGCCCCAGCGACACCCUAGGGGCUACACGAUCUAUAAGGUUACCGCACGGGUCGUUUCACGAAGAAAUCCGGAGGACGUCCAGGAGGUAGCCUGCUUAUCCCUGUGAACAUUCUGUUUACCCCUGCUGAAGAGACUGCCCGAACUACUUGUAUGAGUGUUUGUACUUGUAUGACCGUUUCUUCGGCUGCGUGACAGUAGCAGUUACACGUCAUUCUGCUGAGGAGAUAAUUGUGUGGAGAAGAUACAGUGACUUUAAGAAGCUGCACAGAGAGCUAUGGCAGAUUCACAGGAACGCAUUUCGACACUCUGAGCUGUUUCCCCCGUUUGCUAAAGGGACAGUGUUUGGGCGAUUUGACAAAACCGUAAUUGAGGAACGACGUCAGUGUGCUGAGGACCUGCUACAGUUCUCUGCCAACAUCCCUGCUCUGUACAACAGCAAGCAGCUCCAGGACUUCUUUAAGGGUGGGAUAAUUAGUGAUGGCUCUGAGUUAAUUGGCCCUGCUGAAGCUUACCCAGACUCCCUG
rnacentral:lncRNA from 1 species